UGCAGUCGAGCGGACCGACGGGAGCUUGCUCCCUUAGGUCAGCGGCGGACGGGUGAGUAACACGUGGGUAACCUGCCUGUAAGACUGGGAUAACUCCGGGAAACCGGGGCUAAUACCGGAUGCUUGAUUGAACCGCAUGGUUCAAUCCUAAAAGGGGGGUUUUAACUACCACUUACCGAAGGACCCGCGGCGCAUUAACUAGGUGGGGAGGGAACGGCUCCCCCAGGCGACGAAGCGUAACCGAACUGAAAAGGUGAACGGCCCCACUGGGACUGAAACACGGCCCAAACUCCUACGGGAGGCAGCAGUAAGGAAUCUUCCGCAAUGGACGAAAGUCUGACGGAACAACCCCCCGGGAGUGAUGAAGGUUUUCGGAACGUAAAACUCUGGUGGUAGGGAAAAACAAGUACCGGUCGAAUAAGGCGGGACCUUGACGGGACCUAACCCGAAAGCCCCGGCUAA
rnacentral:rRNA from 1 species